rnacentral:rRNA from 1 species
GACGAACGCUGGCGGCGUGCUUAACACAUGCAAGUCGAACGGAAAGGCCCUGCGGGGGUCGCGUGCGGCGAACGCGAGAGGAAGACGAGGGCGUGAGGCACCUCACCUUGGGAUAGGGAUGGCUAACGGGGACUAGGACCGAUAAGGACCAGGAGCUUCAGCGGGAGGGGGGGGGAGGGAAAGCUUCGGCGGUUGGGGAUGGGCUCGCGGCGUAUCAGCUUGUUGGUGGGGUAGUGGCUUACCAAGGCGUGGACGGGUAGCCGGCCUGAGAGGGUGACCGGCCACACUGGGACUGAGAUACGGCCCAGACUCCUACGGGAGGCAGCAGUGGGGAAUAUUGCACAAUGGGCGCAAGCCUGAUGCAGCGACGCCGCGUGCGGGAUGACGGCCUUCGGGUUGUAAACCUCUUUCACCUGUGACGAAGCGCGAGUGACGGUACCUAUAGAAGAAGCACCGGCCAACUACGUG